rnacentral:rRNA from 1 species
UAACGGGGCUAAACAUACAACCGAAGCUUGGGCUGGCGGAGCAAUUGACAAUUUACAAUUGAGAAUUGACAGUUAAGGGAACAGAAAUGAAGCGAAAUGUGAUUUUGGAAAAGAGCAUGGACUUUGCAGUGCGUAUUGUAAAGCUGUAUCAGUAUUUGAGCCGUGAAAAAGGUGAGGAAGUCAUGGCGCAGCAGAUGCUGAGAAGCGGAACAAGCGUAGGAGCAAAUGUACAUGAGGCAGUGGAGGGAGCAAGCAAAAAGGACUUCAUUGCAAAGAUGGGUAUUUCGCUGAAGGAAGCAAGUGAGACGCGAUACUGGCUGGAGCUUUUGUACAGGACGGAGUACCUGACAGAAGUGGAGUAUGAAAGCAUCAGACAGGAUUGCGAUGAAGUCACGAGGCUGCUGGUAGCAAUCGUGAAAACGUCACGCGGAAGCGUGACUCCCUAAUUGUCCAUUGUUAAUUGUCCAUUGUCAAUUGCUCUGCCGGGGUAGGGGAGCGUCCUAUGCGGGGCGAAGCAUGAGCGGAAGCGCGUGUGGACUGCAUAGGAGUGAGAAUGCCGGAAUGAGUAGCGAGAAUGAUGUGAGAAUCAUCAUGGCCGAAAGCCUAAGGUUUUUGGAGGAAGGUUCGUCCGCUCCAAGUCAGCCGGGAGCUAAGGUGAGGCCGAAAGGCGUAGCCGAUGCAGAUACGGUGGAGAUUCCGUAGCCAUCAAAAGAUUUAAGCAGAAUGACACUGUCAAAGAGCCCAACCCGGGCGUUGGUAGCCCCGGGCGAAAGGGACCGAACUCAGAGUAGGGAAGUGGGUAUCAGAGACAGGCGAGAAAAGUUCUGCGGGAUAUUUUAGAUGCCCGUACCGCAAACCGACACAGGUAGGUAGGAAGAGGAUUCUAAGGCCAACGGGAGAAGGGUUGUUAAGGAACUCGGCAAGUUGACCCCGUAACUUCGGGAGAAGGGGUGCUCAUUGAAAGAUGAGCCGCAGAGAAUAGGUCCAGGCGACUGUUUAGCAAAAACACAGCUCUCUGCUAAAUCGAAAGAUGACGUAUAGGGGGUGACGCCUGCCCGGUGCUGGAAGGUUAAGAGGAGGGGUGCAAGCUCUGAAUCGAAGCCCCAGUAAACGGCGGCCGUAACUAUAACGGUCCUAAGGUAGCGAAAUUCCUUGUCAGGUAAGUUCUGACCCGCACGAAUGGCGUAACGAUCUGGACACUGUCUCAACAGCCCACCCGGCGAAAUUGUAGUACCGGUGAAGAUGCCGGUUACCCGCGACAAGACGGAAAGACCCCAUGGAGCUUUACUGCAGCCUAAUAUUGGAUUUCGGUAUUUCAUGUACAGGAUAGGUGGGAGACUAAGAAGCAGGGCCGUCAGGUUCUGUGGAGUCGUCCUUGGGAUACCACUCUUGAAGUGCUGGAAUUCUAACCUGCGGCCAUGAAUCUGGCCGGGGGACAUUGUUAGGCGGGCAGUUUGACUGGGGCGGUCGCCUCCAAAAGAGUAACGGAGGCGCUCAA